rnacentral:lncRNA from 1 species
ACAGCAAUUUGUUGAUGGAUUUCUUUUAAAUUGAAAUUUCAGAGACUAAGCAGAGCAGUGAUGACUGAUUAUUAAUGUGAAAUGGAAAACAGGAGAAAGAACAAGACUGUAUGGUAAAGAUGGAGUGGGAAUCAUGGCUCCUGACUAAAGGAGAACAACGAUGACUAUGACAACAACAACAUAAGAUUUAAGAGAAAGAGACCGCCAGCAAAAGGCUGCCACACAAAGGAAGAGGGAAGCCACGGUGCUGGGAGACACCAAAGGGACCAGGGGAUGCUCACACACCAGUGUUUAUAUCUUCUCCAUGUGUGUACACAGUCCAUGAGAGUAAAUUAUUGUCAUGGGAAAGGGUUUAACAUUCUUGACCUAUAGUAUGGCUUGAAAAAAAAUGUGCAACAUGGCUAGAAUGCCAAUUUGAAGUGGAGAAGCAUUUAGGGGGAAUGAAUAGACUGUGCUUCAGAAGUAUUUUCAUGGAAGGGAGCGAGCCUCUUUAAUUUGUUCUCUGCAGAGGCUGCGAGUGAGUGAACAUUGUAACCUGCUAAGUAAGGCACCGUGCA